AUACGUAGGGGGCGAGCGUUGUCCGGAAUGAUUGGGCGUAAAGGGCGCGUAGGCGGCGCGGUAAGUCUGGAGUGAAAGUCCUGCUUUCAAGGUGGGAAUUGCUUUGGAUACUGCCGCGCUUGAGUGCAGGAGAGGUUAUCGGAAUUCCCGGUGUAGCGGUGAAAUGCGUAGAGAUCGGGAGGAACACCAAUGGCGAAGGCGGGUAACUGGACUGCAACUGACGCUGAGGCGCGAAAGUGUGGGGAGCAAACAGGAUUAGAUACCCUGGUAGUCCACACUGUAAACGAUGAAUGCUAGGUGUAAGAGGUAUCGACCCCUUUUGUGCCGGAGUCAACACAAUAAGCAUUCCGCCUGGGGAGUACGGCCGCAAGGUUGAAACUCAAAUGAAUUGACGGGG
rnacentral:rRNA from 1 species